UACAAAGGGAGCUAGCGUUGUUCGGAAUCACUGGGCGUAAAGCGCACGUAGGCGGAUGUGUCAGUCAGGGGUGAAAUCCCGGAGCUCAACUUCGGAACUGCCUUUGAUACAGCACGUCUUGAGUCCGAUAGAGGUGGGUGGAAUUCCUAGUGUAGAGGUGAAAUUCGUAGAUAUUAGGAAGAACACCGGUGGCGAAGGCGGCCCACUGGAUCGGUACUGACGCUGAGGUGCGAAAGCGUGGGGAGCAAACAGG
rnacentral:rRNA from 1 species